GUCUCAGCCAGCAGGGUUGCCCAGUGCCCCUUGUCACCCCCCGAGCAACACAAGCCAGGCUGCGGUUACUCUGGGUCUGUGCGUCUGGGAUCAUAGUUUUUAAAUCUGCCCCAGGGUCCUCCAGUCCCAGCUGUGGAAAGUCACCCUCAGAGGGUGAGGCGGGCGGCGCGCCUCUGUGUGAGUGGCCCCAUCCUUCACAGCGAGUUUGUGUCUACUGAAUCGCAGACUCUGGGAGGCUGAAGGGUUACAGGAGGUCGUGUGUCUCACGUCGCCACUUCACGGUUGAGGACCCCGUGACCCGCUUUGCUCAGUGGCUGCGCAAGAUGAGUAAUGACCUGAAACAGGGAAAAUGUCUUGGAUACAUCUUGCGUAAUGAGGAGAAAAAUGCAGCCAUGUUGCAGCCUGAUAAAAUACUCUGCCAGUGUCCUGCCAUAAAAUGACAGGCGAAUUUUCAGUAGCAGAUUCUCUAAUAGUUCUGUGGUCUUCUAGGUGCUAAACUGUUUAAGUAUCUACAUUUUCUAAGCCCGCCUAAUGCAAAUAUUCUCAAAAAACAUAAACCCUUCAUUCUUUCUCAAAUAGGUUACAUUAGUUAUACACUCUGGAGGUGACUUGACCUGUCAUUGUGAACAAUUAUUGCUCUUGGACGACCCAGGACAUAGGCCAGCCAGUACGUACCCCAGUGUGUUGGAGAAUCGCGCUCGGCUUCUUCCUCUGUGCUGAGUCAUGAAAGUUGCCGGAGCAGGUGCAGUUACACAACCUCCAGGUAUGAUCCUGUUUAAGGACUGGAUUUAGGAUAACUACUUAGAGGUUAAAAGUCACAAGGGUGUAUGGAUGAGGCUGGAGUG
ensembl:lncRNA LINC01128 long intergenic non-protein coding RNA 1128